AAAUGAGAAAAAGUCAUGGAAGCACUCUUUUUUUACUUCACAGGCUUUAAUAUUCAAUAAACCUUGUUCUGCUGUGGGGAGCAGUUGAAAGCAAUUCACUUGCAUGACCAAGGGGUACAGCCUGGUUCCACCCCUCCCUAACGUCAUUUAAGGGCUGGCUGCUCCCAGGGGAGGAGCUCCUGUGUGAUGUUUUGUGUGCCCUGUUCCUCAGAAAGGGAUACAGUCAGAUGAGAAAGUGUUGUGCUUUAUGGUACAGUUUCCUUGGCCAAAGGAUGCUUUGGCAGCAGAGGUUUGCUGUCAGGGGGCAUUAAAGAACUGAAAUUAAAUACUGAAGAAAAUGCUGCUGUGCGCAGGGCCCAGGGACAUCAGCUCACAGCAUGUCCUUGAUGGUGGGUGUCUGCAAGCUUUG
rnacentral:lncRNA from 7 species